UCCUACGGGAGGCAGCAGUAGGGAAUCUUCCGCAAUGGACGAAAGUCUGACGGAGCAACGCCGCGUGAGUGAUGAAGGCUUUCGGGUCGUAAAACUCUGUUGUUAGGGAAGAACAAGUGCUAGUUGAAUAAGCUGGCACCUUGACGGUACCUAACCAGAAAGCCACGGCUAACUACGUGCCAGCAGCCGCGGUAAUACGUAGGUGGCAAGCGUUAUCCGGAAUUAUUGGGCGUAAAGCGCGCGCAGGUAAUUUCUUAAGUCUGAUGUGAAAGCCCACGGCUCAACCGUGGAGGGUCAUUGGAAACUGGGAGACUUGAGUGCAGAAGAGGAAAGUGGAAUUCCAUGUGUAGCGGUGAAAUGCGUAGAGAUAUGGAGGAACACCAGUGGCGAAGGCGACUUUCUGGUCUGUAACUGACACUGAGGCGCGAAAGCGUGGGGAGCAAACAGGAUUAGAUACCCUGGUAGUCCACGCCGUAAACGAUGAGUGCUAAGUGUUAGAGGGUUUCCGCCCUUUAGUGCUGAAGUUAACGCAUUAAGCACUCCGCCUGGGGAGUACGGCCGCAAGGCUGAAACUCAAAGGAAUUGACGGA
rnacentral:rRNA from 1 species